rnacentral:rRNA from 1 species
AACGAACGCUGGCGGCGUGGAUUAGGUAUGCAAGUCGAACGGGAACCUUACAACUGAUCCUUCGGGUGAAGAUGUUUGGGAAACGUGGCGAACGGGUGAGUAAUGGAUAGACAACCUGCCCUUAACACCGGGAUAAUCCAUCGAAAGGUGGGGUAAUACCGGAUGGUAUAAUUUCUUUUCGGAGUAAUUAUUAAAGGUGGCUUCGGCUUCCGGUUAAGGAGGGGUCUAUCUCCUAUUAGCUUGUUGGUGAGGUAACGGCUCACCAAGGCCGAGAUGGGUAGGGGGCCUUAGCGGGCGAUCCCCCACACUGGGACUGAGACACUGCCCAGGUUCCUACGGGAGGCUGCAAUCGAGAAUCCUCCGCAAUGGGCGAAAGCCUGACGGGGUAACGCCGCGUGACUGAUGAAGGCCCUUACGGGUCGUAAAAGUCUUACAGGGAAUACGAAAGAUAUUAUGGCUAAUAUCUAUAAUAUUUGACAUUAAUCCCAGAUGAAGUCACGGCUAAAUAU